GUCGCAGUAGCUCAGUGGUGAAGCUCCCACUUCGUACGCGGGGAGACCUGGGUUAGAUUCCCGGCUGCUUCU
rnacentral:tRNA from 1 species